rnacentral:rRNA from 1 species
GACGAACGCUGGCGGCGUGCCUAAUACAUGCAAGUCGAGCGGACUUUCAAGAAGCUUGCUUUUUGAAAGUUAGCGGCGGACGGGUGAGUAACACGUGGGCAACCUGCCUGUAAGACGGGGAUAACUCCGGGAAACCGGGGCUAAUACCGGAUAAUAUCUUUCUUCGCAUGAAGGAAGGUUGAAAGGCGGCGCAAGCUGCCGCUUGCAGAUGGGCCCGCGGCGCAUUAGCUAGUUGGUGAGGUAACGGCUCACCAAGGCGACGAUGCGUAGCCGACCGGGGAGGGUGAUCGGCCACACUGGGACUGAGACACGGCCCAGACUCCUACGGGAGGCAGCAGUAGGGAAUCUUCCGCAAUGGACGAAAGUCUGGCGGAGCAACGCCGCGUGAGCGAAGAAGGUCUUCGGAUCGUAAAGCUCUGUUGUCAGGGAAGAACAAGUACCGUCCGAAUAGGGCGGUACCUUGACGGUACCUGACCAGAAAGCCACGGCUAACUACGUGCCAGCCGCCGCGGUAA